rnacentral:pre_miRNA from 1 species
UCUUACGGAUGAGCAGAGAAAAUGGUUUCUUGAGAUGGAAACAACUCCUGAUGAAGAUGCUGUGAA